rnacentral:rRNA from 1 species
UACGUAGGGACCGAGCGUUGUCCGGAUUCAUUGGGCGUAAAGAGCUCGUAGGCGGCCACUCAAGUCGAAUGUGAAACCUCGAGGCUUAACCUCGAGCCUGCAUUCGAUACUGGGCGGCUAGAGUCUGGUAGGGGGAUCUGGAAUUCCUGGUGUAGCGGUGGAAUGCGCAGAUAUCAGGAGGAACACCGGUGGCGAAGGCGGGAUGCUGGGCCAGUACUGACGCUGAGGAGCGAAAGCCAGGGGAGCAAACGGG